ACUUGGGAAGGGUUUGUUGGGGGGUUUUGUGAGGUCAGAGCCAGCUCCCUGUACUCAAUUCUGUCAAGGUUAACAAACGUCACUGGAUAAAAUCAUUGGGUUUUUGUCAUCCAGGCAAACACAGUGACACUCCUUCCCUUUGCCCUUUUACCUCCUGGCUGUGGAAGCCAAAAGGCACGUCCAGCCAAUUGUGGGAAGCUUUGUCACACCAAUGAGGUGACACAGUCUUCUCCAGUGUAGUGCUGUGGUCUGGCUUUUGUGGCUUCCUCUUGGGGCCCACCCCCAACAGCUCUUGCAGCCCUAUGAGGGCAGAGCAGCUCUGGAGAAGACACUUGUGCAACUUUGUAGCACAUUCCAGGUAUGUUAAAAGAAGAUAUCCAGCUCAAACCAGUUCUGGACUAUGAAGCUCUACUGGCCAGGCAAGGCAAGGAAAGCUCCAUCACAGGUAGAGAUCAAUCACGUGCUGCUGGAGAAUCCACAGGUCUUAGCAGUUACCCUGUGCCUUCAGAGAGUCAACAGUUCAGUCUAAGGCACCCCACAAUACUGGAGUUAAGCUUGGAUGAACUUGGGUCCUUUCAUAGCAUUUUAAGUUGCACACUGGGAAGCCUGGAGUAAUUUCUUUAAAAAUAUACAGCAACAAAAUCUUUUCA